CCCUGGGUGGUGAAAAUGGUGAACGCACUCUGCUGCUAACUGAGAGGCUGGAGGUUUGAGUCCACCCAGAGGCA
rnacentral:tRNA from 1 species